GCCCAGACUCCUACGGGAGGCAGCAGUGGGGAAUAUUGCACAAUGGGCGCAAGCCUGAUGCAGCCAUGCCGCGUGUAUGAAGAAGGCCUUAGGGUUGUAAAGUACUUUCAGCGGGGAGGAAGGUGAUAAGGUUAAUACCCUUAUCAAUUGACGUUACCCGCAGAAGAAGCACCGGCUAACUCCGUGCCAGCAGCCGCGGUAAUACGGAGGGUGCAAGCGUUAAUCGGAAUUACUGGGCGUAAAGCGCACGCAGGCGGUCAAUUAAGUCAGAUGUGAAAGCCCCGAGCUUAACUUGGGAAUUGCAUCUGAAACUGGUUGGCUAGAGUCUUGUAGAGGGGGGUAGAAUUCCACGUGUAGCGGUGAAAUGCGUAGAGAUGUGG
rnacentral:rRNA from 1 species